UGGGGAAUUUUGGACAAUGGGGGCAACCCUGAUCCAGCCAUGCCGCGUGCGGGAAGAAGGCCUUCGGGUUGUAAACCGCUUUUAGCUGGGAAGAAAAGGCACGGGCCAAUACCCCGUGUUCUUGACGGUACCGGCGGAAUAAGCACCGGCUAACUACGUGCCAGCAGCCGCGGUAAUACGUAGGGUGCGAGCGUUAAUCGGAAUUACUGGGCGUAAAGCGUGCGCAGGCGGUUCGUUGUGUUUGCGGUGAAAGCCCCGGGCUCAACCUGGGAAUGGCCGUGAAAACUGGCGAGCUGGAGUGUGGCAGAGGGGGGUGGAAUUCCAGGUGUAGCAGUGAAAUGCGUAGAGAUCUGGAGGAACACCGAUGGCGAAGGCAGCCCCCUGGGCUGACACUGACGCUCAGGCACGAAAGCGUGGGGGGCAAACAGGAUUAGAUACCCUGGUAGUCCACGCCCUAAACGAUGGCAACUGGGUGUUGGGGGAGCGAUUCCUCAGUACCGUAGCUAACGCGUGAAGUUGCCCGCCUGGGGAGUACGGCCGCAAGGUUA
rnacentral:rRNA from 1 species